GUGCUCACUUUGGCGGCACAUAUACUAAAAUUGGAACACUACAGACAAGAUUAGCAUGGCCCUUGUGCAAGGAUGACAUGCAAAUUCGUGAAGCAUUCCAUAUUUUU
ensembl:snRNA U6 U6 spliceosomal RNA